rnacentral:lncRNA from 1 species
CGAGACAUAACAACACACGCACAGUGAUCUCUGAUCUAUGCUCUCUCUCAAUUAGGAUUUCAGUGUUCUAGUUUUCCAUCACAUGUGUAUUCAUCUGUUCUUGAUAGUUCUUGUGAGAGUAGAUUUAGAUGAGAGUAGUGUAGGCAUAUGUAGUGAGGUUUUUGUGUAAAAGUAGUUCAAACGAACUGAUCUAUCAUUAAUAAAUAGAUUCUUCGUGUUGGGAAAUUGAUUUUGUCAAGUUUUUCAUGGUAUCAGAGCGAGGUGAUUUCGUCUGAACUGUUCAAUCACUCGUUUGGUUUUUCCGCUUUGAUCGAUGGCGUUUAAAGGUUAGGGUUAUAUUGUCCCUUCUUCAUUUUUUUACCGUUUGUUCUCUUGAAUCUUAGGCUUGUUAUCAACAUCUCUUGUGUUGAUCUAAGAUUCUGAUUGGAAUCUUGUAGCUCUAACACCAUUUGUGUUCAUCUAGGGUUUCACUUUCUUUGUUCCUUUAUUUUGGCUUUAAGAUCUCGGUUACUGCGACUUUGUGUUCCAUUUACAGAUUGGUUGCUUCGGUAUUUCUUCAAUAUAUCGACGUUCGACGAAAUCUGUAAAAUCCGAUUAACUCUUUAGAGAACGGAACCUAGAAGUUUUGAAUAACUCUGAAGAGAAUAGAUUCAUUCUUAUCUGAUAAACUCUUUUAGAGAACAAAACCAAGAAGUUUUGAUAUUACUCUAAGAGAUUUGUCUCACAUUCUCUGGUAAUUUGUGGGUAUGUGUCUCUGAGCUUUGUUGAUUUUUCAUUGCAGUUUGUCGAAGACUAAAAUUUCAUUUAGAUUAUAUAGGAUAACACAAAACUUCAAUGGAUCGCAACUUCUUCAUACGAAGUCAGAUUUAAACGUUCCUUAUACCCAUAGAACUGUCAUUGCGACAUAAGAGUAUUAUUAUUAUAAGAAUGACUAGCAUCCAUGUCAAGUUAAAGAAUUGUUGAUGUUUCUAACUAAGGUGGAGUUUUAUUCUAUAUUCUUCAUCAACUUUCUAAUUGCUAAAAGGAACAAAAGUCUUCAAAGGUUGUAAAUUUCUUUUAUCGUUUGGUUAUGUUUUAAGUUUUCCAAGUUUUGGAAAAUGAUCAUUGGUGGGUAAAAUGGUUUUAGUUUAUUCAAAUUUAUAAAAUGCUUAUGUUGAUAAUUAUAUUAAUUUUGUCACUAAAAUUAAACUAUUUUUGAAUACAACCCAACACUUUAAGCUUUCCAUAUUGAUGAAAUAAAUGAAAAUGGAUAUACAAAGCAAUAUUAAACUCGAUGUAGCCAUAGCUUUAUGAGACUACAAACUUAACAUAACAUGGAAGUAGAGAAGGCACAAGCAAUACAAAUAUCAUACGUGUUGUUUCCCAUUAGAUCAAUACACUCAAAGAUCUUUAAGCACUUCUCCCUUUGCGACAUCUAGCUCACAUAGUGCACAAAGGGCCUGGGACUUAUAGAUCACAUAUGCUCGGAAAGCCAUUUGAAUCACCAUGACGAUAUCCAUACGUGACAACUUCUUCUUCUUCGUCGUCGUCUUUUUCUUUUUCUUUUUCUUCUUAUCCUUCUUGUUCUUCCUAAAUACAUGACUAUCAUCUACAAUGUUAGAUGAUGGGUUGAAAGUGUACUUGCGUACAUACCUCCACCAAUUAGUUAGCAUAAAAGCGAGCCCAGGCGUCUCCUACAAAAACUUUACAAAGACGUCAAAAACCAAACUAAAUAAAAAAAGAUACAUGGAAACUUAAAGUCAUAAUAUACAACUAUAAAAGUGGUAACUCGGGUGAUUCCAUGGUGAACGUCACAUUUGGGGAGUUGUCAAACAAGAAGUUUCUAGUUGCACUACACAUUCUUUCUUUGUAUGCAUCCUCACUCAUGUAAGAGUCUAUACUCAAGCAAAUCAAGUUGCCAAAAAGGUGAUGGGAGGUGCGAUAAAAAAAUCCUGAAAUGACGAAAUACACUACACACACAUGUAAUAUAUUAUAUACAUAAAAAUAUAUACGUACGUACUGAAACGAAAUCAACAUAUAUACCUAGUUACCUCAAUAACUUCCACAUUAAGCGUUAGAUAUGUGGCACUACAGAGCUCUUGAAGAAUGUUAAUAAUCUUACGAGCAUAUUUCCUCUUAUAAGAUCCAAAACGUUGAUAACAACCCAAACAUAUAUUGAUUUGAAUAUGUGGCACCACGUUUCUAUAACGGAUCUAAAAAAACAAAAACCAGAAACCUCUUUGUCUUUUCCGACGAUACAGUCCAAAAUCAUUGGUGGAGAUGACGCUUAAAAAUUGAUUUGAAUAUUUAAAAAUAAUGAUAUUUCUUUGAGGGAACGGAACUCAAGUUGUUACGAAAAAUUCGUAGAAGACAGUUAUAUAUCAAGUUUUGAGUCUGUCCGUAGUCUUUUUUUUUUAUACAGUAGUAUUUACGAAUCCUUUAUAAUUCCAUUGUUAGUGUCUAAUUUAAUUACCAAAACAUUGUAAUUUAUGUAAGAAAAAUAGGGUUUGUAGUGUAAAUCUGGAUACCAACUUGGAUCAUGUGAACACUUUCUGAACUGACAUUUUUACUCUAUGCAUGUGUUACAAGAAAUCCAGCCUAAGAUAAUCUAAGAGGAUACUUACAAUUCUAGGCAUAGAAAAUCAUAAGCCAAAUUGCUAGAAAGAUUCUAUGAGUGUUUGAAGAAAAUCGAGAGCUAAAUUUCGUAUGUCUCUUCUAAAAGGAAGAUCUGUUUAUAUAUAAUAAAUGAGAUUAGGGUUUCAUUAGGGUUGGUCUGUCAUCAAUUGAUUUGCAAGCAAGUCAGCGGGACCCCAGCCAGGGGCUCUGUCCCUUGGACCCCGCUAGGGGCGCUGCCCCUUUGGAAACCCCGGACCCUCGACAUAUCGUCGAACCGACUUCUAAUUCGAUCUUAUACAUGCGUGCACUCCGCACAAACCCCGUACAUAUAUUAGAGUACAAAAAAUGAAGCCACUUAGCUCACAUGUUAAUUCCAGUUACAUAAAAUGACAUGUUGACACUAAAAUCACCAAUAAUUUACUUUUUAAUAGGUUUAAAAUCUCUAUUUUUUUAAUCUUUUUUUACUAUAGAAAUUUUAUAUUUGACACCAAAUAGCAUUCAAAUUUAAAAUUUUUUAUUUUAUUAUGAAAUAACAUUCUUCUAAUUUACAUUAUAUCUCUGUAUACAUCUUCAAAUCUCACAAUCAUAUGUCAUCUUAUUCAACUCUCUUAUUAAAUUAUCUCUUAUUAAAUUAUGCGAUAUAACAAAAACUACAUAACAUAAUUUGCUUAUGUAAAAGUCUUUCUUGCAUGUUACUUUCGCUACCAUACAAUCAAAUUAGGAUAACAAUUUCAAUUGUCACAGGGGACUUAAAAGUUGUUUUUUGGCAAUAUUGAUAUUGAUGUUUCAUAUAUUUUUGAAUUCCAGGUGAGGGAUGGAAAGAAAAUUUUGUUUUGGCUAGAUGAUUGGCUAAAGAACGGGACUUUGGCAAUGAAAUUCCCUUCUUUAUAUGCGUUAGACAAGAGGAAAACUUGCCUUUUAGGUGACAGAUGGGUGAAUGGCGUUUUCUCGUGGGCUUGGAAGCGGAAACCCAACAAUUUUCGGGAGUUGCUGGAAUUGAAAUCGAUUUUGGAUGUUACAAGGAUGGAUGUGAGAUCCAAUAGGCCUAACACUUAGAGAUCAAGGUUAACUGUCGAUGGCUCUUUCCGUGUAUGCGAUCUUAGGGCCCUCAUUGACAGUAAAUUGACUAUCCCGAUAAAUAACCCCACGGUUUGGCUUCACUUAGUUCUUAUCAAGUGCAUUAGUUUUGUUUGGAGGGCUUGUAUGGGGCGUAUUCCUACUGCAGUGGCUCUUUCCAAGAGAGGUAUCAUCAUAUCUUUUAUUUCCUGUCA